UCUUAUGUACAUGCCUACAACAUAGCGUUAAUGCACCGGAUUCCAUUAGAACUCCGCAAUUAAACGCGCUCGGGCUAGAGUAGUACUAGGAUGGGUGACCACCCGGGAAGUGGCAUUUUAUAAACU
rnacentral:rRNA from 1 species